GGGUGGGCAACCAAGGGGUUGGCAUGUGAGGUUUGUGGAGAAUUGUCUCCUCUUUGGUGAGAGUUCUAGCCCUUGCCUUUAGAAUUUUUUUGGGAAAGAGAAAUCAGAUCAGAGAAAAGAUAUUUUCUUUGAUUUUCUUUCACUACUUACAUCCUCUAUUAGUCCAUCUUCAAUAUCGAAAGGGUCCGAGUUGAUCAAAGAAGAAGAAUCAGAUUAGCUGUCCUAAAAUCUUUUACGUGAGCUAGUACUCCCGUGAAGGCUUCGUGUGGACUUUCUGUAGAGGUUGGACAC
rnacentral:lncRNA from 1 species